GCUGGCGGCAUGCUUAACACAUGCAAGUCGAACGGUAACAGCAGAAGCUUGCUUCUGGCUGACGAGUGGCGGACGGGUGAGUAACGCGUAGGAAUCUGCCUGGCAGCGGGGGACAACCUGGAGAAAUUCAGGCUAAUACCGCAUACGCCCUACGGGGGAAAGAUGGGGAUCUUCGGACCUGUCACUGUCAGAUGAGCCUGCGUUAGAUUAGCUUGUUGGUGGGGUAAUGGCCUACCAAGGCGACGAUCUAUAGCUGGUCUGAGAGGAUGAUCAGCCACACUGGGACUGAGACACGGCCCAGACUCCUACGGGAGGCAGCAGUGGGGAAUAUUGGACAAUGGGCGCAAGCCUGAUCCAGCAAUGCCGCGUGUGUGAAGAAGGCCUUAGGGUUGUAAAGCACUUUCAAUUGGGAAGAAAAGCUCUGGGUAAAUACCCCGGAGUCUUGACGGUACCAAUACAAGAAGCACCGGCUAACUCCGUG
rnacentral:rRNA from 1 species